rnacentral:rRNA from 1 species
CCUACGGGUGGCAGCAGUGAGGAAUAUUGGUCAAUGGACGAGAGUCUGAACCAGCCAAGUAGCGUGCAGGAUGACGGCCCUACGGGUUGUAAACUUCUUUUAUAUGGGAAUAAAAUGUUCCACGUGUGGGACUUUGUAUGUAUCAUAUGAAUAAGGAUCGGCUAACUCCGUGCCAGCAGCCGCGGUAAUACGGAGGAUCCGAGCGUUAUCCGGAUUUAUUGGGUUUAAAGGGAGCGUAGGUGGAUUGUUAAGUCAGUUGUGAAAGUUCGCGGCUCAACCGUGGAAUUGCAGUUGAAACUGGCGGUCUUGAGUACAGUAGAGGUAGGCGGAAUUCGUGGUGUAGCGGUGAAAUGCUUAGAUAUCACGAAGAACUCCGAUUGCGAAGGCAGCUCACUGGACUGCAACUGACGCUGAGGCUCGAAAGUGUGGGUAUCAAACAGGAUUAGAUACCCUUGUAGUC